ACAGAGCCAGGCUGACGUAGAACACUUCUCUACUAGACUUUUUGUAUUUUCCAACUUUUGGAUGAAAGAGAGACGUAGCAGAAACCCAACAAUUACAGAGAGCCUGGCACAUGAUUCUACAAAGCAGUGUUUUCAAAUGGCUGACUCCAAAGAAAUGUGUAACUCUGUGAAAUGAAUGCAGACAUCACAAAGCAUUUGCUCAGAAAGCUUCUUUCUGGUUUUUAUCUGAAGAUAUUUCCUUCUUUACCAUCAGCCUCAAUGUGCUCCCAAAUAUCCCUUCGCAGGUUCUACUGAAACAGUGUUGCCAAACUGCUGGAUAGAAUAAAGGUUUAACUCUGUGGCGUGAAUGCACACAUCAGAAAGCGGUUUCUCAGACAGCUUUCUUCUGGUUUUCAUCCUGGGAUAUUCACUUUUUCGCCAUUGGUCUCAAU
rnacentral:lncRNA from 1 species